rnacentral:rRNA from 1 species
UACGAAGGGUGCAAGCGUUACUCGGAAUUACUGGGCGUAAAGCGUGCGUAGGUGGUUUGUUAAGUCUGAUGUGAAAGCCCUGGGCUCAACCUGGGAACGGCAUUGGAAACUGGCUUACUAGAGUGCGGUAGAGGGGUGUGGAAUUCCCGGUGUAGCAGUGAAAUGCGUAGAGAUCGGGAGGAACACCUGUGGCGAAGGCGGCUUCCUGGCCUGUUCUUGACGCUGAGGCGCGAAAGCUAGGGGAGCAAACGGG